CUCCCCGCUUGGAAAUGGAGAGCGGCGGCGCUCGCCAGGGCUCGCCGGCAUCCCGCGAGAGGAAGUAGCUGAGACAGGACGUGGAGCCGAGAGAGCUGCCAGUGGCCACCCAGGCCCCGCAACCCUUGUGAGGGGCAGGGAUGGCGGUGGUAUGGCCACAGGGGCCAUGCGUAGCAAGCCACGUGUCCCCAGCAAAACGACUGUUCCCUUCCUUCAUUCAUUCCCCCAGCUGAAGGCAUUUUCCCUCUGGAGCACAUCCUCCCAAAGGCUUUUUGAAGCAUUCACCUCCACGUAUUUGUAUUUAUUUCCCCAGCCCAGCAUUCGGUCAGGCUGCUCUGAGUGGGGAUCGCAGGUGCCAUCAUGGAGGCCCACGGUGAGCACCUGCCAAUGCAAAGGGGGCAUAUCCCCCACGCUGACCACCGUCAUCACUGCUGUGUGCUCACAGCUUAUUUGUGCCCGUGCCUGCGUGCGAAACACAUGUGCACAAGCACACAUGUCUGUGGAUAUGCAUAUAUCCAAUAGCGGCGGCCCUGGUAAGCAGAGCGGUGAUUUCUCUCCUCCAGAUAGAUGUAUAAUGCACACACACGGCGAUGAUACCUAAGGUGUUUGGGGGUGGGGAUGCAUAAUAUCUUCUAAAUUUGAAGUUUUUAUCAGGCAGAGCAGAUUACUUUAAGCGUUCCAUUUCUCAGCGAUCCAAUUUUAUUAGGAUUUACUAUCAUUUGUGCUGGGCAUCCCUGGGGAAAUAAUGCUUUGAUUAAUGUAAUCCUGGGCUGGGAUCCGCCACAUGCCCCUCUCCCUGGAGAAGGGCCCUGUUUGACAAACAACAACAGAGCAGCAACUCUUGCAAUCCGCGCUCACCUUUAGGAAACACGCGGCCACGCUCGCACAGAACGCUGCCACCGCCUCCCCCCCAUAGCCCAGGCACAAUAGCAGCGCUGCGAAACAAUGUGCGCUCAUUCAUUUGCACACAAUGCCCGCGAUUCAGUGCGGGGCUGUACGGCCCAACCCUCGGCUGCACGGAGCCAGCCCAGAAAGGACACCGCUCCGCUCCCCGCUGGGAAGCCGCAGCAUCUCGAGGAGCUCAAUGCCUCUCUGUAUUGCAGCUCUCCGUGGGCUCACAGCACUUCUGUCUCUUUGUUUCCCGCUUCAGGCCUCGCUGCAAACUGAUUUCCAGGCUGUGACCCGCCCCCCCCCACCCCCCCCCGGGCCAGAGGCUCCCCCGGAGAGUGCGGUCAGAACGUAUGGAUCCAUUUCUCUGCCUUUUGGGGGUGUUCCGGCCACUGCCACGCACGUUUGUCCGUGCCAAAGGCUGGCAGGGGCUGUUGUGUUAUUCACGUGGGUCUGGGGGAAUACACACGCCCAGGGCAAGAGGCCAACGCCAGGUGACCCGACGCUCCUCCCUCCCUUCACCCCCGAGCGGUCAAAAUGGCAAUAUAAUGAUUAUUUCUACCCCAAACACGCGGGUCCCGCUGCACCCAAGGAGAGUGACAAAGGCCACGCGUGGGCUACUCUACUUCGAGCGUGAAUUGUCAAACCCGGGGACAGAGGAGGGAGGGGUGCUCUGGGGUUCACCAUAGGGCGCCGCUGUGUGCGCGCACGCCGCUGACCCCGACGCGGUGACUCAGCGCUGCGGUGGCUGAGCGGCCGCACGGGGGGUCCCCCCCCUCCCUCCCUCUUUUCUUUCCUGAUGAAAAACGGUGCAGUUCCGUCUCUGCGUGCUGGUCGGGGAGUCCAGCUAACACGCCUUAAACGCGUUGUCAGGCGCUGGUUAAAGAAGGAAGGCGGGGGGGGGGGGGGGGGGGGGAAGAGAGAAGGGGGCAAAACCAGGCGUGCAGUGUUGUGCGUGCCCGGAGUGCGCCUCUCUCCCUUCCCUCUCCCUCUUCUCUCACCACGGGCUCCAUCCCCCGUUCCCCACUUCCCUCCACUCCUGCACACCGCUGCCGCCGGGCUGGGGGGGUCCCCUCCUCUGCGGGGCGGGGGGGGGGGAGACGAUGGAUAACGUUAACUUCGGGCUGUGGUGGAGUUGAGCUGAGCUGCGGGCAACGUGCCACGAACGCUUCGAAGUACCCCGCAGCAGAGAAUGGAUAGAUCGGGGGAGCGGGUGUGAAACGCGCACGUAGAAACUCAACGCACGGCAGUGUAAACCCCCCAAAGCGGGUUAAAUCAAUCCCAAUACGGGGAGAUGAAAUAAAAAUAAAUAAAUAAAUAAAUAAAUAAACAAAGCAGGGUAAAAGCGUGGCUGCCGCAUUCACGCACGGAGAGAGGAGCCGGCAGCGUGUGCGUGUUUGUGUGCGGUGCCAAAAAGAGCAGCUUCCAGGUCGACCCGCCGCAAUCUGCACCGCGCUCCUCACACAAUGGCCAAGUUCACAUGGCAAAAAUUGUAAUAAUAAGAGCAGAGCCGCCAAACUGCGCCCGGGCUGCUUUCUGGUGCGCCACAAUUCUUCUCCUCCUUAUCCACUACGAGACUGCCCGUCCCUGCGCGCGUAAAAGAAAAUCUAUGCAGUGCAUAUGGAUCUUUCUCCCCCCCCCCACCCCCCCCCCUUUUUUUUUCACAUGUGAAACGCCAUUGAGAUGGCGAGCACGCAAAUGGGAAUGCUAUCAUGUCUCAUAAAAGCGGGGCUACGGUUUUCACCGUCUUUUAAGACAGACUCCAACUUGCAAAUCCCCCUUUUUAUGUCCCUACGUGCAGAAUUAUUCCUAUAAACACAAACGUGCGUGUGCGAGGAGCUGCUGGGUAACAGCACGGCCCCGCGAUUUUAACGUCGAAGGGAGCACCGGGUUUCCAUCCCGUGUACCGAGAGGGUCAGCGGAGACCGUUCCCAUCCUUGAGCAACUUUCGUCUCAGGGGCGGACGGCGCCGUCCAACCUCCCGCAGCCACGAGCACAGCGGAUCCGGCACGGGAGAGUUCGGGCAGCGCGGAGCGGUGCGCUUCGGCCAAGGGUGGCACCGGGAUCCCAGCGCAGUGCCGCACUCCGCGCGGCCGGGCUUUACGCACAGCGCAGUACGCGGGAGGUGUCUUUACGUUUAACGUUUUAAUUUGGACAUGCUAAUUAGGCUGUGGGUCUCCACGGUUCUAUCGGCGGAUAGCUGAUCGCUUCCCUCUGCGAGGAAGUGACUGCUAAAUACAUUUCCCGGCCCCGAUCUCCGUUCCCAGAAGCCCGUCUAGCAGAACCGUCCCGUCGGGCGAAACGGACCUUUAAUAAUGGAAGGCCGAGGGAGGUUCUGCGCAGCGGCGCACCGCCUCGGGCACGGCCCCAACGCGGCCCUCUGCAGCGGAGCCAUCGAAAUAACUCCGUGCCCAGCGAACUUGUUGCUCGCUUUCAGCUCCUCCGCUCACCCCGGCUCGGGUCGGUGCCAGGCGAGGGGCAGAGGCAGCCUGGGGGAGAAGCCGCCGCUGUCGGGGUGAGAAACUUCCCGGGCUCCAAAGCCGCCCGCUCUGGGCGUCGAGGGGCAGCGGCCGCUCCGCUGCUGGGAACUGCGCCCUGGCCAUGUGUUUUUCCCGUGUGGAACGUUGCUCGCAAGUGCGGGAGGUGGAAAGUUUUGUUCACGUCAUUAUCUCAAAGCUUUCCCCGCGCGGUCAGUGGACGCAGAGGCUUCACUCCGUUUUCCGAAUGAAAACCCACGGACGCUUGAUGUGAAAAGUGCAUGCUCCCGUGGGCCGUGCUUUCCCCGAUUACUUUCUUUUUUCUUUUUCUUUUUUUCUUUCACUUUCUUGGCUCCGUCCCGCCAGGAUCUCUACGUUUACGGGCUGUACGGUUUCCAGGGCUCCAAUGGGGCUUUCCCUGAUGGAGGCGAGGAACAGAACUUUCCCACUCGCUCGGAAACUGCCGAGGAUCCGGCGGGGGGAGCACACAAAGAGGCCCCAAAUCCCCCCCGGGGCUCAGGGACAUCCCCUGCAGGUGCAGGACCAAAGCUGCAGGGAUGGCCCAAAGCGGUGCAUGUGUCGCUCUCGUCCCCUAUUAUGAGCGCUACGGGAGUGAAACGGGGGGUGGGGAGCGGGUUCUUGGGACAGCGGUUCUUGAGCCCACGCACGUUGGUGAAGGGAAACGCGGGGCCGUGCGCGCCGUCGGGCUGAGCCAGGGUUAAUGCCUGCGGGCCCAGACACGCUGUGCUCCGGGGGGGGGGGGGUGGUGGUGGCGAGGGGGCUCUGCCAGCUGCUCCCGCAGCGUGGGGAGCGGGAGGGGCGGAAAGGAGGAGCCAUCAGCUUAGGGCACACAAAAACAUUUAAAAAAAUAAAAUAAAAAAAAUAUAUAAAAAGACUACUUUUCCAGGCUUAACACAGCCAUUAAAUAUUAAAAGUUCAAAAAAAAUUAUAUAUAUAUGUAUAUAUAUAAAAGACCACGAGUCGUUUUAUUGCAUCUCCACGGGCUUAAGCGCUUUAUUUGGGCGAUAAAAAAUAUUAAAACAAACAAAUAAAUAAAUCAAAAUCGUGUGUGUAAUUGGUGCCCUCACUCCCUUGACGGCCUCGGAUCCCUCGCAGGUAUCGCCCCCCGAUCCCGCAGCUCCACCCCCAGCAAUCCCG
ensembl:lncRNA